rnacentral:rRNA from 1 species
UACGUAGGGUGCGAGCGUUGUCCGGAAUUAUUGGGCGUAAAGGGCUCGUAGGCGGCUUGUCACGUCGGGUGUGAAAGCCCCGGGGCUUAACCCCGGGUCUGCAUUCGAUACGGGCUAGCUAGAGUGUGGUAGGGGAGAUCGGAAUUCCUGGUGUAGCGGUGAAAUGCGCAGAUAUCAGGAGGAACACCGGUGGCGAAGGCGGCGCGCUGGGCUGGAACUGACGCUGAGGAGCGAAAGCGUGGGUAGCAAACAGG